AACAAGGCGUACCUGCGGACCUGCGGAGGGAUCAUUAUUAAAAUUUUUUACAUUUUAUUGUAAAAAAAAAAUUGUAUUCAAAACCCAUACUCUUAAAAUCAAAAAAAAUUUUUUUUAUAAUAAAAAAAUUUUUUUAAAUAAAAAAUAGUAAAUAAAAAGACAACUUUCAACAACGGAUCU
rnacentral:misc_RNA from 1 species